AACUCAUGCGCUGGGCGUCAGAAACCCGGCAGGGGAAUGGGGUCCCAGAUUCCGGGCACGUGCACAUGGGUGAAGAAGCUGUUGAAAAUACAGCUACAAUCUUUUUCUGCUCUCCUCCCAACUCAUCUUGCCCCUCCCUACCUCUGAACAGUCGCCUUCCAACACAAGCAACAAUAAAGUUUAGUCUACGGUCCUCAGAGCUGCCGGAAGAGAAGAAUCAAUGGAUGAUAAAAUAACUAGACAAUGAUGGGUAGGAGUGAUGGAAGUUCACUGUAAGCUCCUAUAACCCCCCAUCACCAUCACCACAUGCCUAAUACAACCUGCAGACACACUUACUCGCAACAGACCUGCAAUCUGGGCUCUCUUUUCCUUCUUGAUGGAGGCCUCAAAACCUCAGCAGUUGUACCCAUUAAACUAAAAUGCUUUUUCCCUCUUAGUA